GGUAACGCGAUGAUGGCAACGAAGUAGUUUCUUGUGUACAGGUCCAGAGAGUCGACGGUCGCUGCAAGUCGAUCCGGCGCAAGAGAUGAAUUACAUUGCUUGAGCUUUCUAGGAAACGUAUACUCUGCGUUAAAGAGCCGAGUGGAGAGCGGAAGUUCUCAACAAGGGUGGUACCGCGAUACGUUCGUCCUUUUU
rnacentral:ncRNA from 1 species